rnacentral:lncRNA from 1 species
GAAGAAGAAAAAAAUUCUGAACACACAUGUUAAAAACAUGAAAGUGAAUGGGAAAAAAAAUGAAUGACUUAGAGAUUAAUUUUCAACUUUGACCAAAACUCUUGGGAAUCCUAGAAAAUGACUUGGAGUUGUGCCCAAUUACCAGGUUACAUACUGUUGCUGCGCUUCAGCUCUCUUCCCCAGAGGUAUUAACUGAGAUUAUAGCAUCCACAGAGCGAAAAUUGGAGACUCAGCUUUUGACCUUUUUCAAGAGGAUUAAGCUUCUGAAGUUACUGAGACACCAGGACGUCCAAUGGCGCUCAUCUCCUACGGAAAAAGUAGACUCAUAGGCAAGAAACAGCCCUGGACGCAGAUAAGACAGGCCCUCCAGGCUGACGGAACCCUGGACACAAGGAUUACAUGAGUAAGUAAACUCAAACAAACAAAAGAGAAAUUCUGCAACCCUGUGCAGAACAUGAACAUUUUUAUUCAGAUGAUCUCAAACUGCACUGAAAUAUAAUUGUAAAAGAAACACAAAAAUCUACCCUCCCCAAGGUUCCAGAGUCCCUCAAUUUUUGCGUUUGAUAAAAUCCAUCUAUUUCCUUUUUCUUCCCCCUCACCUUAUUAAUUGUACAAAGAAGGGGCAA